UUUUUUUGUAAUGGAGAAUGACAGUCAGAUUGUUGAUACCCCUCUCAACGUUAACACUCACCUAGCCAAAUACCUAACUGCACCUUUCGUAACUGAUACCAAGGUUUUGCGAGGGACAGAAAGUCCAUUCGGUUCUUGAGUAAUCAGUAGAGGGAGGACUAUCAACGUUUUAUCGAUGUUUCCUAGUCGGACAUAUUUUGAUGCCGCACUCGUCAGCACAGCGACGGUUUCUUUCCGCUAGUUACCACUAUUACACAAAUGUAAUAUCGUGGCUAUAUAUCGUAAAAAUUUAUGAAAAAUUAAUACCAAAAAGCAAAUUUUAGUUAAGGUUAAUGUUAGCAGUAUGGUUAAGGUUAGUUUUAAAAUCUAAUUUUAAGAAUAGAAAUUGGAGAAAUAUACCGGGUUUAUGACUUUGUAGCUGUGGUAACUAUUAACGACUCCAUAGCGAUGGCAGCAUGUGGAGCAGAGAGUGACGUUCUGGAUGAAAAAGAUGAUCCCGGUGCAGCAUUUUACGGAAAUGUUAUACAUUAUUACACAUUCAACCCACCAGAGAACCGUCUAAGCCUAAUUUCGACCACACUUAUUCAGGAUUUGGGGACCUGACAGUGGCAUUGUACAGACACCUCCAGCAGAGGGCCCAGUCUGAAGAGGUUACAGCAGCAUCCGGCACUGAUCUCCAGCUCUUGGGCUUUGACCUGGACGAAGCCAUUAUCCUCCGGGCUCAACAGACAAACCCUUUCCCUCAGAACAUCUCCUUCAUUCCCCUAGACAUCACCCAGGAGGACACUAGUGCCAGCCAGCUAAAGGACUACUAGAGACGACAUAGCUGCUCCCGUUUCCACCUCUCCCUGUGCCUGGCUGUCACCAUGUGGGUCCAUCUGAACCAUGGAGACUCCUCUCCCUGUGCCUGGCUGUCACCAUGUGGGUCCAUCUGAACCAUGGAGACUCCUCUCCCUGUGCCUGGCUGUCACCAUAUGGGUCCAUCUGAACCAUGGAGACUCCUCUCCCUGUGCCUGGCUGUCACCAUAUGGGUCCAUCUGAACCAUGGAGACUCCUCUCCCUCUGCCUAGCUGUCACCAUGUGGGUCCAUCUGAACCAUGGAGACUCCUCUCCCUGUGCCUGGCUGUCACCAUAUGGGUCCAUCUGAACCAUGGAGACUCCUCUCCCUGUGCCUGGCUGUCACCAUAUGGGUCCAUCUGAACCAUGGAGACUCCUCUCCCUGUGCCUGGCUGUCACCAUAUGGGUCCAUCUGAACCAUGGAGACUCCUCUCCCUGUGCCUGGCUGUCACCAUGUGGGUCCAGGGGCUUCAAGCACAGUUAAAUAAGGACCAGUAUGUUGAUUGAACACUAGGUGACAAUAAUACUGUGUUGUUACCAAUGGGUUGUUAUUGCUGUCUAAUGACACCUGCAUAGUGCAUAUUUUAGACAGCUAUACAUUUAGGUUGACCUAACUCGAUACUAUUCAUAGACGUUGUGUUUUGGGGCAAUUCCAUCGUAACGGAGUGUAUGCCAAACAAAAAACAUUGAUUUCAAAGAUUAACAAACCAUAGAACUCUAUGCACAGUGACUACUUUGAACAAUUUA